rnacentral:tRNA from 1 species
UUUAUUACUUCUGAAGCUAGUGUACACUUUUGAUAGUUUUUAUGCAACUGGUUUUAUUUUUUUUUCUAAACAU